GAUGAACGCUGGCGGCGUGCCUAACACAUGCAAGUCGAGCGAUGAAGUUUCCUUCGGGAAAUAGAUUAGCGGCGGACGGGUGAGUAACACGUGGGCAACCUGCCUUGUAGAGGGGAAUAGCCUUCCGAAAGGAAGAUUAAUACCGCAUAACAUUACCGAGUGGCAUCACAUGGUAAUCAAAGGAGCAAUCCGCUACAAGAUGGGCCCGCGUCGCAUUAGUUAGUUGGUGGGGUAAUGGCCUACCAAGACGACGAUGCGUAGCCGACCUGAGAGGGUGAUCGGCCACAUUGGGACUGAGACACGGCCCAGACUCCUACGGGAGGCUG
rnacentral:rRNA from 1 species